rnacentral:pre_miRNA from 10 species
GGUCUUCCGUCGUCCAUAUAUACCCUGUAGAACCGAAUUUGUGUGAUGAAACCAGAGUCACAGAUUCGAUUCUAGGGGAGUAUAUUGUCGAUGAAAACACUUC